UGGGUUUGUCUGAAAAGGGGGAGCAGAGCAAAACAUUUAUACUGUAAAUAAUAAACUAAAUAAUAAAUACACGAAUAAAUAAAUAAUUGUAAGCUUAAGUGGUCACGUGAGAUGGUAGGAACGCCACCUGCUAGCACGACCUUCAUGUUUACCAGAAUGGACCUGAAGGUAAACUAAGGACGGAGAAUUGUUAAGGCUCAAGACCACGGAGGAAACUUCUGCGCAUUGGAAAACGUUUUUAAAAAAGCAACACGUCGCCCAAGAGGCCAGCGAGGCCAGGAGGCGGACGGACCAUGAAUCGAGAUGAGGGAACAUUCAAGCUCUCCCACACGUGGAACUCUCUGCAGGGGGCGUGGCCUACAGGAGAAACGCCUUUUUAAAAGUGCACGUCACUCCUACAUGAUGAUGCCUCUGAAGAGGACAGCAGACGACAGUCGAAACACGUCAGAGUUCUCUACGCAGCAAAGUAGCCCUGCACUGCUUCAGCACAGUGGAGGCAGCAGCAGCAGCAGCAGCAGCAGCAGCA